rnacentral:rRNA from 1 species
GACGAACGCUGGCGGCGUGCCUAAUACAUGCAAGUAGAACGCUGAGGGAGGAGCUUGCUUCUCUGGAUGAGUUGCGAACGGGUGAGUAACGCGUAGGUAACCUGCCUGGUAGCGGGGAUAACUAUUGGAAACGAUAGCUAAUACCGCAUAAGAGUAGAUGUUGCAUGACAUUUGCUUAAAAGGUGCAAUUGCAUCACUACCAGAUGGACCUGCGUUGUAUUAGCUAGUUGGUGGGGUAACGGCUCACCAAGGCGACGAUACAUAGCCGACCUGAGAGGGUGAUCAGCCACACUGGGACUGAGACACGGCCCAGACUCCUACGGGAGGCAGCAGUAGGGAAUCUUCGGCAAUGGACGGAAGUCUGACCGAGCAACGCCGCGUGAGUGAAGAAGGUUUUCGGAUCGUAAAGCUCUGUUGUAAGAGAAGAACGAGUGUGAGAGUGGAAAGUUCACACUGUGACGGUAUCUUACCAGAAAGGGACGGCUAACUACGUG